AGAGUUUGAUCAUGGCUCAGAACGAACGCUGGCGGCGUGGAUUAGGCAUGCAAGUCGAACGAGAAUCUGAGAGUCCAAGUUUUCGGACAAGGACUUUUGGAGGAAAGUGGCGGAAGGGUGAGUACAACAUGGAUAAUCUACCUUCAAGUUGGGUAUAGCUUUCCGAAAGGAGAGAUAAUCCCGGAUGUGGUGAUCCGGCGCAUGCCGGAGACUCCAAAGGUGGGGACCGCAAGGCCUGCCGCUUGAAGAUGAGUCCGUGCACUAUCAGCUAGUUGGUGAGGUAAUGGCUCACCAAGGCUAUGACGGUUAGCUGGUCUGAGAGGAUGGUCAGCCACACUGGGACUGAGAUACUGCCCAGACUCCUACGGGAGGCUGCAGUCGAGAAUCAUUCGCAAUGGGCGAAAGCCUGACGGUGCGACGUCGCGUGGAGGAUGACGGUCUUCGGAUUGUAAACUCCUGUCAUGUGGGAUAAAUAGCCCGGGUGUGAAUAGCACUUGGGACUGAUAGUACCACAGGAGGAAGAGACGGCUAACUCUGUGCCAGCAGCCGCGGUAAUUCAGAGGUCUCGAGCGUUGUUCGGAUUUACUGGGCGUAAAGGGAGCGUAGGCGGCCGGGUGUGUCGAAUGUGAAAGCCCACAACUCAACUGUGGAAUGGCAUUCGAAACUACCUGGCUAGAGUACUGGAGAGGAGAGCGGAAUUCUUGGUGUAGCGGUGAAAUGCGUAGAUAUCAAGAGGAACACCGGUGGCGAAGGCGGCUCUCUGGACAGAUACUGACGCUGAGGCUCUAA
rnacentral:rRNA from 1 species